rnacentral:lncRNA from 1 species
CGAUGGUCAACAUCAGAAAUGUUGGCACUUCCUGGAGCAAUUCAAUUGCUUCAAAUACAAGGCUACUACAUAAAGUAAAAAACAGUGAACAUUAUUUUUUCACUCUAGUAACUCGUAGUGAGACCCACUAGCUUAAUUUGCGGUCUGUUCGUGCCAAUGUUCUUCUUUUUGUGUAAAUGUACUGCUUAGGUGUCUCCCGUGUCUGCAGCGCGCAGUUAGAAUCCAGAAUAUAGGCAGACAAGUAAAACCUUGCCAGACUUUAAAUUUUUGUUUAUAUCGAUAUGUUAUGUUCAUAAAUGUAUAGAAAUCUCAUGAAAUGCGUUAGGCUUAGGUUUGGAGUUAAAUCUAACCCUAUAACCUUAACCUUAAUCUAUUACAUGAUCUGUAUAUUUGUGUACGUAAUAUAUGGGUAUAGCCAAAAUUUUGUUGAAAAGCUGGCAUAGUUUUCCUUCGGUAGGAUAACUAAACUGGGUACAAAUGGUAUCCAUAGCUCAUAGAGGGUGCAAAUGGUACCCGUAAGAAGAUUGGUGGAUAUCGUGGACAGUUAAACACAAAGAUCAGUUUAGGACUGUAAUGACACAAUUAAUGUAAUAAUAAAUAGUCUAGGCUUUCAUCGCCCGUAGUGCAUGUUUAUCGCUGGUUUCGAACGUUAGUUUUCUGCCCCGAGUUAUAUGAAAACAGUUCGCUACCAGAGAUUAGGUCCCCCCUCUGUUAUGGUGGCUCAACGACUUCGUGGAAGACAAUUAACAUAAGGCAUGCCAACCUUGCCCCUGUUUGUGGAAGCUCACCAGGUGCGAUGGCACACUAGGUUAGGUUAAGCUAAGGGCAUGACCGAGACUCCACAUUCGGGGGUAUUCCCUUGCAGGUUUUUGAAAGGUUGUAUGCGCGUGCGCACUAGUUAUGAAGGUUAGGCAGCUAGAAAUAGGGGGCUUUUGCUUAUUUCUGCAUGCAUACUAUAAGACUAUAAUUGAUAUUAUCGUCAUGCUUUUGCGCCAGUAACUUUCUGUAAAGUAUUUAACACAACAGGAAAAUGGAAUCUGUUUUUCUGCUGAAAAAUACUUAUAGAACCAAUUCAAAGUGGAAAAAAAGAAAUAUUGCGAAAAAAAGAGAGAAAUAAAAAAGAAAACCCGCGAAGCCACUUUGAAUAUAAGCCACAAUAGUCCAAGAAUACUCGUUGCAGAAAAAAAACAACAAAAAAGAAACCAUUUUCUGCCUAAAAUAUCUUGGAUUAGGGGCUUAACGAUAAGAAACGUAGUUCUCGCUCCAAAGUGGAGAAUAGGCUCGUUUCUUUAGGUUGCUAAUGCAUUGCGCGCGCGCGUCAUAAAAUUGUACUAUAAAUUUUCAGUUGAAAAGACUGCCAGGAAAAAUAGGGUGUUUUCAUGUGUUACUUUGUUGACGGACAAGUUUUCAAAACAAUGGUUUUCUAGCUUCCUUGUAUUUCGGCACUUUAACUUGUUCCCAAACAUAGCAGCCAUGAAAACACUCUGCAGAUCAAGUUUAUCUAUGGUCGCAAUAGCAACUAGAAUGUUUGCCAUGUUGCAUUCCGUGUUGUCUUGCACUGUCCAUACAUCAGCUUGGUCGAACCAUGGAUCAUAAAAACACCAUGGUCGAACGCAGCUAAUUAACAUAAGCGGCGCACGCGUGCUGCUGCAUUGCGGAGUACAGUCAGUGAGUGUACUCCAUGUGCAAAUAGUGAAGUGUGCUCUAUAUAUAGUCUUGAAACAAAGUUUAAUGCGCAAAGUUUCAUGCUUACUAAAAUUCAACGCGCUACGUUGCAUGCUUAAUAAAAUUAAGGGCAUGAAAAUCAGUGCAUGAAAAUCAGUGCAUGCCAUAUUUGAGUGCGCGCGUUGCAAUUUUCUUGCGCGCGACAGCAAAAUGCGCCAAAAUAUAAAAAUCUAAGUAUAGAAAUGCACACAUCACAUCCUCAAAAUGCAUCCAAGUGUCCUAACACAUUUUACAAUGAAAUACUGUAAAAUAUGUUGAGCCGUUGGAUUCAUUUGCCACGCACCUUGUCCUGAACAUGUCAGAAAUAUUUUCAGGUUUCAAGGUUAAGAUAAAUACACCUUAGUGGAACAAUCUGUUCAUAAAAAGGGAUAUUUGUCUUGCGCUAUUUGUAGACUGAAUUUUCGGUGGUCUACAAUGCUUUUUUGAACAUCUCCUGAGAUUUUUUAAUUUUUUUUUUGCAAGAUUCUUACUUUUCUGGGUUUUGGUAGGUUAUGGGUAGGUAUGGUAUAUAUUGGUAGGUAUGGUAUAUAUAUGGUAAUAUAGUUAAUAGGUAAGCGGGGUUCCCCUGGGGAUUCCGGCAUCCGGACUCAUAAUCACCAAGGUUUUUCACCAGAUCUUGCCAUGGCACUUCUGGUUUUCCUCGGGUGAUUAUAAAUUUUUUCGUUUGGC